CGGGCAUUCAACGUUUCAUCUUCAGUGCCAUAGUCAGAUUACUAACCCUUUGGGCCUCUGUUUCUCAUCUGCAAACUGAAGAGUUGGACACAUUAUAAAAUCCUUUCAGAUUCUUAAUGUUGGAUGAUUAAAAACAUUUAUUAUAGGAGUUGGGCUUCCUACUCCCUUUGGCUAAAGAGAGUAUUGCUCUAGUUACUUGGUUUACACUCACGUGAAUAAAUGUAGUAAUAUAGAUGCCAAGGUGAGUAGGAAAGAAGAAAACAAAAUAUGGACAAAAACCAUGAAGCAUCAUAAUAGAUUAUGGGUCUCUUGCAACGUGUGAGCUGCCUCUUGCCAAGAGUGAGUGGCAAAAGAAACUAACCCCGGAGCAGUUCUACGUCACAAGAGAAAAGGGAACGGAACCGCCUUUCAGUGGGAUCUACCUGAAUAACAAGGAAGCAGGAAUGUAUCAUUGCGUGUGCUGCGACAGUCCACUCUUCAGUUCUGAGAAAAAGUACUGCUCUGGCACUGGGUGGCCUUCGUUUUCCGAGGCUCAUGGUACGUCUGGCUCUGAUGAAAGCCACACAGGGAUCCUGAGACGUCUGGAUACCUCGUUAGGAUCAGCUCGCACAGAGGUUGUCUGCAAGCAGUGUGAAGCUCAUCUAGGUCACGUGUUUCCUGAUGGACCUGGGCCCAAUGGUCAGAGGUUUUGCAUCAACAGUGUGGCUUUGAAGUUCAAACCAAGGAAACACUGACCAUCUUCAAGAGUCCCGUUCCCUUGCCACC
rnacentral:lncRNA from 10 species